AGUAAUCGCUUCCGACCCAGCCAUGCCUCAGUAUUUUCAAAAUUCAUUUAUUCUGACAUUUUCCCUUUUCAGUUCCACCAUCACCAGUUUUUACCAUCAUCAUCAUCCUGCUGCUGUCUCACCAUUAUCUACCAUAUUCCAUCAUCACCAGUUUUCACCCAUUAUUCAACACCAUCAGCCACCUACUUCACUAUUAUCUACCAUAAUGACUUCACACGCAGCACAGGCCGUUUUAAACCAACUGAAGGACUUGGAGGAAAUGACAAAUGAGAAGUUGUCCUAUGCCCAGGUAAUUCUGCUCGAAAAAAAAGAACCAUUGGCAGCUGCUAAAAUUGCCGCUGCACGCCACACCCUGACCAAUCGUAUACAGACUGUCACUGCUAAAGCAGUACACCUCAAGUGCUUGAUUACCAACCAGCCUAAACCAGUAACAAUUUCAAAACCAAGUCCAA